GUAAUCCACAGUCAGCACUGAAAAGCAAGGCAAUCUCCCAAAUCUCCCAGUAACCGGACGAAACACAGUUCUGAGAGUCAACUGAGGUCUUUAUUUUCAGCUCCACAAUUUAUACAAUUCCCCAUGCAAGGGGUUUCCUGAGUCCCAUCCCAGGGGCAUUCCCAGAGUGGACUACAUGGGGAACUUACUGUACAGGGCAUUUCUCCCAUCAGGCACUGCUGCACGAGAGG